UGUGCUGUGACACUUUUGAAUUUUCAUCUGAUUUUAUAAGCAAGUAGUUUUUCAAUGAGGUGAAACUUGGGGUAUGUAAGACCAAUCAGACUCCUGAAAUAGGUACCCUAGUCUGGAAAGGUUGAGACACUGCUGUACUCCCCCACCUUGGCCUUUUCUGUGAUGCACCCACUCAGCAGUCAGUGAGGCUGAAGUUUGCUACUCCCUUCUUCCACCAGCAGCAAAGUGUAGUUUUAAUUUGUCUGAAAUGUGUACUGUGAUUUAGGCCAGGGGUUCUCAACCAGUGGUCUCUGAUCCCAGUGGCCCUGAAUCUCUCUGGCCCUGCUCCCCUUGGGCCAGAAGCCAGGAGCCCAUGGGUGGAGUUGUGGGGGCACAGGAGUGUUGCCCCCCAGGCUGCAGUGUCAGAGCUGGGCAGUCCUGGAGGUAGCUCCCAAACGCCCACCUCCUCCCUGCAUCCGAGGCCCCACCACCUGUCCAGGUAGGAGGUGGGAAGCAGAAGCCAAGCAAUGUGGGGCAACUGCUACUCUGACUGGUGCCAUGGAGCAGACUGUUGCAGCAUUCCUGUUUCUUGCUGGUGCCCAGCGUUGCAGCUGCUCCUUAGCUCCCAGCCCCCUGUGAAUGCUCAUGGAGCUUAUAAGAGCCACCCGGCUGGGGGGAUCUAGCUCCAUGUCUGGCAGAGCCCUUGGGGCGCAACAACUGCAGGGGAGUUCUCCCAGCCCCCUACAUUAGGGUUAAACAAGACCCAUAACAAAUUUAGACCUUGUAUGUGUUGGUUUAUGAACCUGAUGGUUGAAUGGGGGAACCAAGUUAGGCUUCAGCUUGUGUGUAUUUGGUUUGUUUUUUGGUAAUGGCAAAAGAGGCUGGGUUUAAAGGCUUUUCCCAUCAUGUAGUAUAUGGACUACAAAGAAAAUAGCACUGGUGGUUCUGAGGUAUUUGUUAAUCGAAAAGCAUAUUCAUGGACAUACAGUGGUUCAUUUACACAAAUGUAGCAUUCUUAUAUGGUAAAUAUUACCCAGCCAUGAUUUAAUUUUAACUGAAGUAACAUUGUUUCCUCAAGCAACCAACCCUUGUACACAUUUUCUUAACCAAAAAAAAAAAAAAAACUAACUUCUUCAAAAGGAGAUUCAAGGUCACUCAAACUUAACAGUGUGAAAACCUUUAUACAGAAUGUUCCUUUUCAAUAGGGAAGCGUAAUAUUUGGCCUGCGAAGACCUGAUUUAAUUUUGUGUUAAUUGAAUUUACUUACAUCGUAAAUGGAAUUCUGAUUCCUAUACAUGGGGGUUUUUUUAAGCAAAGAAAUUUGAGGUACAGUUGUUACUACUACUGACAAAACUUUAACAGUAAUAGUAUGGAAAAUACUGCUACUUAUAAAAAAGCCGAUCUAUAUAUUAGACUACCAAAAUAACUGUGAAAUCAAUGUUCCAAGAAAAAUGUAAGGAAAUUACAGGCCCAAUCCUGAGCCCAUUGAAAUUAAUGGCAACAGGAUAGGACUUUUAUUAAAAGAUGUUGCUUUUAUUCUCUAAAUAAUAUAGUGAGUUGAGGGUUUAAUGGUCUAAGCUGGACUUCCUGGAACCAUAACUGUAUUUCGUAUUGAUCAUCUGCUGAUAAUGUUAGCUUAGUCGUUUGAUCUUCCAAGGUAGAUAAGGAUUGCCAACUGUGGCUGUUUUAGUCAAGACCCCUGUGUUAUGUGUGGACAUUAAUGAUCUCAUGUGAGCUGGUGUCUUUAGCCAAAAUGUUCCCUGUCCUAGUUUUGUAGUAUCAGUUGGUUACCACCCACCUCUUUCAGUGGGUCUGCUUGGGGUAUGGAUAGCUCAGUGGUUUGAACAUUGGCCUGCUAAACCCAGGGUUGUGAGUUCAAUCCCUGAGGGGGCCAUUUGUGGAUUUAGUUGGGGAUUGGUCCUGCUUUGAGCCAGGGGGUUGGAGUAGAUGACCUCCUGAGGUCCCUUCCAACCCUGAUAUUCUAUGACAUUGGGCAAAAUCAUGUGGGUAUUACCAGUUUGAGACAAACUCCUAUUGACUUGUCUGAUAGUCUGUAAAGUGUUUUAGAAUGAAAGCUGCUGAAUAAAUGCGAACUCAUGUAUUAGCAUAAAAAUGAAGCCUAAACACUUGUCUACCUUGAAAGCUGCCCCAUUUCAAUUUUACUUCAUGAUUCUAGUGAUGCAUUUUAUUUCUGAAACUGAAGAUUACUGUACCCUAACUAUUUUAAAACCAAUGGAUUGUGUAAUCCAAAUGCUAAUAAGCUUGUGCAAAUGCACCUUCUGCUACACAGCAAUUAUGAUGCAAUCACUUAUCUUCUAUGAUGAUGCUUGUGUUCUGGGAUUUAAACAGGUCACAUGAUAAGUUGAAUCUUUGAGCUGACUGAGAUUUAAAAUAUUAACAGCCUAGUUUGUUUUUGUAAGAUAACUAUUCAUAGAUAAGAACUGGGGUGGAAAUUGUCUUUGAAUGUAGGUCACUGGGUAAGCCUAAUAUUUGACUCCCUCUGAAUAAGAAUCUUUAAAAGAUAAAAUGCACACAGGAGUCUUAUUUUUAGUGGAUAUCUCUAGGGGCUUGAUGCCCCAUGUACCAGGCUACCAGGAGUGGGCAUCAUAGUCUUGGAAGAUGCAUUUUUCAGCAAGGGAGCCCUGAGGGAUACAGGUUUCCUUAGCAUGUAUCCCACUGAUUAUUUGUAUUUAGUGACUAAGAGUCCUAGUCAUGGACCGGGACACCAUUGUGCUAGGUACUGUACAAGCAGCCCAAAGUCACUUGGGUGUAUUUAGUAUGCUAAUGUUGCUACAGGUACUUCACCCAGUAUUCUGCUCCCUCCUUAUGUUCUCAGGUCUCUGAGAUUUUCAGCACUUCUGAAAAUCAGGCCACUUAUAUAAGUGCCCAAAAUGGAUGUAGCUUCUGAACUUUAUGUAAUUGACUGAAAUUUUGGGGGAUUUAAGAUCUGUUUUCUCGUCUGAAAACUGGGAUAAUGCCUUCCUACUUGUUUAUGUUUGUAAAGUGUGUUGAGGUUCUUGAAAAAAGGGUGUUAUAGUUUACAAGUGCAAAGUAAUAGUGUGGCCCUGAAUCCACUCUGCACUAUAAAUAAAGUGCUUAGAUGAAUGAUGGACCAAUAUGCACAGAUUGCAUAUAAUGUGAAGGUUGUUUUUUCUCUGCAAGGCUAUCACUGGGGGCAGGAACAGGAUGACUUAGCAACUGUGUUUUAUCUGCUGUUGUCAUAUCAAUCUGAAGUCAAUGACUGUGUGCCAAUAGUUACCCCUCAGGUUUUAUUGCGGGGAGGGCAGCCACCUGUUAAAAAUUCUCACUUCUAGCUGUUUAUCUCGUAUCAGAGGUUGUCUAUUUCUUCCUCUGCUUUUUAGACUACAGGUAGGUGAAAUGGGGAGGUACAGGUACUUCUAUUCACCCCUGGACUUUCUCCCCAGCCUUUCAAUAACUACAUCUGAUUGUGGGAGUGGGGGCAUAGGUAUGCCUUUCAAAUGUCAUUUCCCUUCGGCCACCUUAUAGAUCCUGCCUAGAAGCAGCUGUAUUAUCUUCAUGAAACUUUGUUGCCCAGGCCGGCUCCAUCCCCUGUGAUGAUGAGGCAGGAAUGUGCCUUUGUGAGGCUUCUAAGUGAAAAAGCACAUUAUAGCCAGAAGCCCUAACCCUGCAGAAAUAAUAAGAACAAGAACAUAAGAGCAGCCAUACCGGGUCAAACCAAAGUAUUGUCUUCCGAUGGUGGCCAGUGCCAGGUGCCUCAGAGGGAAUGAACAGAACAGUCUUGGCCUUCACAACAUCCUCUGGCAAAGAGUUCCUCAGACUGACUGCAUUAUGUGAAAAAAUACGAAGCUGUUCCAUCUCGGUGAGAGUUUGUUCCUUUGCCAGCUCUAUUUCUACAUCUGCAUUUGUUCUAUAUGCACCUCCAGUGACAGCUACUGUACCCAGGUCAGGUGCCAGUGCAGGUGGGAGUGCCUGGCUUGUUUCACCCCAGAACCAAGGCCAACCCUUCUCAUGCAUGCUCACUGCAGCCUGCAGCCAUGGGGUACUUAUUAGCCUUUCUAUCCAUUUCACUCUGAAGGGACCUGAGAUGCUUUGUGUCCAUUUUGCCACUAACAUACUAGCUUGGUAGAAACCAGACCAACUUUGCAGCCCUAUCUCUAUCCUCCUAAAAUAUUGCUUUUAUAAUGUUUUGACACCUUUUUCCCCCCCCGGUACUAAAAUAAUUAAAUUCCCCUUUAAUUACAUUAUAACUUUUUACUACUUUGUCACUAUUUUUUUUUCAUGUUAUUUCUAAUAU